rnacentral:rRNA from 1 species
CCUACGGGCGGCAGCAGUAGGGAAUCUUUCACAAUGGGCGAAAGCCUGAUGGAGCAACGCCGCGUGCAGGAUGAAGGCCUUCGGGUUGUAAACUGCUUUUAUAAGCGAGAAAUAUGAUGGUAACUUAUGAAUAAGGAUCGGCUAACUACGUGCCAGCAGCCGCGGUCAUACGUAGGAGCCGAGCAUUAUCCGGAGUUACUGGGUGUAAAGAGUUGCGUGGGUGGCAUAAUAAGUAGCUAGUGAAAGCGGGUGGCUCAACCAUUCAGACUAUUAGCUAAACUGUUAAGCUCGAGACCGUUAGGGGUAACUGGAAUUUCUAGUGUAGGAGUGAAAUCCGUAGAUAUUAGAAGGAACACCAAUAGCGUAGGCAGGUUACUGGGACGGUUCUGACACUAAGGCACGAAAGCGUAGGGAGCAAACGGGAUUAGAUACCCGUGUAGUC